rnacentral:rRNA from 1 species
UGAGGGAAUAUUGGGUCAAUGGACGUGAGUCUGAACCAGCCAAGUAGCGUGCAGGAUGACGGCCCUAUGGGUUGUAAACUGCUUUUGUGCGGGGAUAAAGUGUGGGACGCGUCCCAUAUUGCAGGUACCGCAUGAAUAAGGACCGGCUAAUUCCGUGCCAGCAGCCGCGGUAAUACGGAAGGUCCGGGCGUUAUCCGGAUUUAUUGGGUUUAAAGGGAGCGUAGGCCGGAGAUUAAGCGUGUUGUGAAAUGCCGCGGCUCAACCGUGGCACUGCAGCGCGAACUGGUUUUCUUGAGUGCGCGCGACGCAGGCGGAAUUCGUGGUGUAGCGGUGAAAUGCUUAGAUAUCACGGACGGACG